UACCAUAAUUUUUUUUUUUUUUUUUUUUGUUCGUAUAUAUUAUCUUCACUGAAUAUUUUUUCUCUUUUUUUCUUUUUUUCUUUUUUUCUUUUUUCUUUUUUUUGACAAAUUAUAACGUUUUCUUAUCUCUCUAUCUAACGAAAUAAAUAUAUAUCUUUUUACAUAAUAAAUAUUAUUUUCUACUUUAUUCAUUAUGUCGAUAUUUUGCAUUAAAAGUUUAAAAUAAAUGUAGAAAAAAAAAAAAAGAGGACUUUUUUUUUUUUUUUUUUUUUUGCUUCUAUUUCAUUUACUCCCUGUUGAUCGUACAUUAUUUGUACAUAUAUACAAAUGAGUAUAUAAAUAAAUAAUAACUAAAAUGAUUAACUUCAACUUUUUUUUAGAACUUUUUUUUAGAACUUCUUUUUAGUACUUUUUUUAGUACUUUUUUUAGUACUUUUUUUAGUACUUUUGUUUAGUACUUUUUUUUUUUUUAUGUUCAUACUUUUUUUAAUUAAUUUUUAAGUACAUUUUUAAGCGCUCUUUUUUUUUACAAUUUUCACAAUAUAUAUAUAUAUAUAUAUAUAUAUAUAAUUGUAUUUUUUUGUUUUUUUAUUUACUACAAAUGAGUAGAAAAAAACAAAAAAAAAAAAAAAACGCUUAAGGAUGAAUAAGGUUCAAGAGGAAGGAAAAACAAAAGACUCUUUAGUUCAAACGUUUUGUGGCUCUAUCAUUGCCACAACUGUAAGCAGAGUUGUUCUUUACCCUCUCGAUACAAUUAAAGUAAAUAAGCAAGUACAUAUGAACAUAACAAAUAACAGUUAUAAUGAAAAUAGUACAGGAAAAACUUUUAUAAAAAAACAUAUUAAAUGUUUUCUACUUUCACAUAUUAGAAGUUAUGGUUUAAAGA
ensembl:lncRNA